rnacentral:piRNA from 1 species
UUCCUAAGCAAGGAAAUUCAAGAUUGUAGGC